ensembl:lncRNA
CUGGAAAUAAGGCAGCUGUCUUGGACACGCCGUCUCGGCUGCAGCAGUCCCGGUCUACGUAGAUGAGCUGGGGGGGAGCUACCCCGGUGUGCUGGUAUCGCCUCAUCAAUCCGGCCACCAUGCUGGACAGUAACCCACGCGGCCGUGUCCGAGGCGAUACCUGCGAGCUUCUUCGUCACCUGGACGGACACAGAGACGCACAGGUUUCAGUGAGAGACACGUCAAACAGAUAAACUUCCUUCACCUUCUUGGUUUAAUCCAUCUUCAGGAUGGAUCCAAAGGUGGACGUGAUCCUGGCCUUGUACUCCUCCAGCCACAUUAGGACGUCGUAGCCGUACACCGUCAGCAGCCACUCGGCUGACGGCAGAGGGGGCAUCUGGGGCGGUGGUGGAAACGGCCCCCUCACGGAGCACAAGGCCAGGAACUGCUCACACACGCCGAGGUAGUGGAUCGCUCUCCGCAUCCAGGAGUCAGUGUGGGUCUCCCGCAGGGUGUUGCACAGCUGAGUGGCACUGUUGCCAAGAGUGCGGGACUUCAGCUGUGCAACCACCCUCAGGUCAGGACAACCUGCAGCAACAAGCAGCAGCAUCACUCUCAGUUUCAUCCAUGUCCAACACGCAGGCACACAGUGUGGUUAAACUGGCUCUUACCUGUACAUGAGUACAGCAGGAAAUUGGCAGCUGUAGGUGUGGGGCAGCUGCCUGAUGAUGCCCUGUGACCAGCCUCUGACCUUCUUCUUACAUCGACGGCACUCUAGGUACUCAGUGGCCAUGAGAUACCAGCCGUCGAUGUCCAGGACCCUCCGGAUGGUCCUGUACAGCCCAGCCUUCAUCAUGGACCCUGUGCAUGAAGGCUGGGGGCAUGUCAGCUGCAGACGCCAGAUCCUGUGUGGCAUCCACAGGAACAGCCGACAUGCGAAGAAGGGGUCGGGGGACGCGGGAGGCUGACUGUAGACCGGCCGGGUCUGGGGAGGGUACCACCAGAGGUUCAGGUCUCCGAUGAGCCGUGGCCUCCCCGAGCUGUCCCUGGAAAACAGCACCCGGCCGAUCCACUGCUGCUGCUCUGCAGUGAGAGCUGCUCUCCAGGAGUCAGGG